rnacentral:misc_RNA from 1 species
UCAUUGAUAUAUAAUAUAACGUCAGUAACGUCAACUGCUGCCCCAUUGUGGCUUCAUUGCUGCAUUUUGUCCAGUAAGUGACGACAAAUAGUAUCGCAAGUCGAUGCUAACAAGCUGCAUUUUAUAAUUAUAAAUAAUUGUACAAAUAUUUCGAUGAAUAAUAUAUCAAGAUUAUUAUGUUACGAAAGGAUUUUGAAAUAUUUAGGGUAGUGCACAUUUAAUCUCCAUGGCUAAGGACAAGAUUAGAACUUCUGAAUCAGGCAAUAAGAUAACCUUCAAAAGUGGGGAGACAUAUACUUCAGAGUUUGAAAUCAAUGAGAUACCUCCUAGUGCUAGAACUCUACUCACUAGAGGUCAUACACAAGAUGAAAUUAAUUUUUUUUCUGGUGCUACAGUAUCAACGCGUGGACGUUUUAUGACUGAACAGGAAAAAUUACGAUGUCCUAAUGAACGGCCUUUAUACUUGUUUAUACAAGGACAGUCUAAACUUAGUGUUGACAUGGCAAUACAAAAAAUUAAUGAAAUUAUUAAGAAAGAACAUCAAAGUUCACUAAAUAGACCAAGCCGAUUUACCAAUGCACCUCCACCACUUAUGAGUUUACAUUCUGGAAUUACAUCAGUAGAAAAAAUAUGCAUCGGUAUAGAAAAUGCACCACAAGGAUUUGAUUUACGAGGAAGAAUUAUAGGCCCUGGUGGAGCUAAUUUGUUAUAUAUAAGAGGAGAGACCGGUGCAAAUGUAUCUUUAAGGGGUAGAAGCUCACAAUUUAUUGAUCCUGUAUCAGGAUCUGAAUCUCCUGAACCACUUCAUUUACACAUAGAACAUCAAAAACCAGAAGCAUUACAAAAUGCAAAACAAUUGGCAAUUAAUUUAAUACAAACAAUGCAAUCUGAGCUGCAAAGUUAUAUACAGCAACAACCACCACCAGUGCAAUCUCAACAAGUUAUAGAACAACCACAAAUACAGCAAUCACAGUUUCAAACUAUGAACAUUGGUACUUUAGGGCAACCUAAUGUUGUUACAAUACAACAUCAAGAUAUAAUACAGCACCCUCAAAGUAAUGUGGUAACUCUACCAGCAACUAUUUUAACAGCAACGGUAGCUGGAGCACCAGGUCCUGGAGUAACAGUUCCUCCACCAGGAGUACAUAUUCCACCUCAUUCAGGACCAUUGGUACCUCCUUCCCAAAGUCAGGAAAUACAGACUUUUAUGCCGCCACCACCUGUUGGACAAGUACAAUUAAUUGGGCCUCCAUCAAGUGUAAGUCAAGUGCAAUAUCAGAUUCAUCCUGGUCAACCGCUACAAAUUCAAGGUAUUCAACCAGGAUCACAAGCAUCACCGCAGCCUGUUACUCAAAUGUAUGUUAUGAGUCAACCACCACCACCAAGUCCAGCUCAACAAAAUUACAUUUCAACUGCUAGUGUGCCAGUUAGUGGGGCAGUGUCAUAUGUUUAUACCCAACCAAGUGUACAAAGGCCUGCAACACCUUCGCAAGGGAUGAUUGAGACUGUCAAUGUUAACUUGCAACAACCACCACCAACAGCUCCUCUCAAUAUAUCUCAACAACCUCCACCUCCAUUAUUACAUCUUCACUUUCCUCCACCUAACUUUCCUCCAAAUCAACCACCACCUCCCGUGCCUCAGACUUAUCAAAUACAAUAUCAGCAGGUACAGGCGCCUGUGUCACAAUCACAAGCACAGUUCGUUCUACAACCUGGUGAACAUAUUGUGCCACCACAAAUACAACAAAAUCAUGAACAACCUCAAGCAGUAGCACAACAUAUGAUCCCACCUCAAUUCGAGGGUCAUCCUCCACAAUUUCAUUUACAAGUUCCACCACCAUCUACUCAAACCUUUUUGGUUCCUAAUGCUCAAUCUCCUCAACAUCAUCAGCAACCUCCAUUACCACAAGGAGGUGAAAUUCAGCAUCAACAAGAUGAACAAGGUCCACUACCACAGCCGGUACCUCCUCCGCAAAUAGUACCUCCUCCAUCAGUGGCACAAAUGCAAAAUUCAAUGAAUGUUCUUACUAGUGUUCCUCCGCCAACGCAGGCACCUCCUCCUCCUCCACAAAAUGCUCCAUGGCUCUAUCAAACGCAGCAACCGCAGCAAAUACCUCACUCCCAGGGUCAGCUACAGGUACAAAUGCCACCUGGAAAUAUGCCACUUCAUAAUGCACCACCGCCACAAAUACAAGCCCAAAUACAAUAUCAUACUCCCCAUAUGCAAUAUCAAAAUGGGCAUAUACCGGCGCAAGUACAUUAUACAGUACAAACACCUCAACAUCAACCAUUUGAACAAAAGCCAGAUUCCCCUGAACAACAGAAACCUCAUGGAGUGAAGAGAAGGUUUUCUGAUAUUGAAGGAAAUCAGGAACCACCACCAUAUCAAUGUGGCCCUUUACCUGCUCAACGUCAUGGCACAGGAAAUAGCCAUGGGUGUGCAUCAGAGAAGGUGAACGUCAACAGCAAGUCUUACAUGGUCCAUCGCCAGCAGGUGCCGGUCUACCCCAUGGAGAUCGAAACAAGCUGCUAAUGCCACCUCCACAUCCAGGUGAAAAGCGUAACAUGGAUCCCAAACAUACGGGAUUAAAUCCAGGUAACGAGUCAGUAUUACUCGCUGAAUCUGGAGGUA